UACAGAGGGGGCAAGCGUUGUUCGGAAUUACUGGGCGUAAAGGGCGUGUAGGCGGCCAACUAAGUCCGACGUGAAAUCCCCAGGCUUAACCUGGGAACUGCGUCGGAUACUGGAUGGCUUGAAUCCGGGAGAGGGAUGCAGAAUUCCAGGUGUAGCGGUGAAAUGCGUAGAUAUCUGGAGGAAUACCGGUGGCGAAGGCGGCAUCCUGGACCGGCAUUGACGCUGAAGCGCGAAAGCUAGGGGAGCAAACGGGG
rnacentral:rRNA from 1 species